rnacentral:ribozyme from 1 species
UUUUUUUUUUUUUUUUUUUUUUUUUUUUUUUUUUUUUUUUUUUUUCUC